ensembl:lncRNA
CACUUGUGUACUGUGGGUUUUACAUUAUUUAUUUAUUUAUUUAUUUCUCCAUUUAGGUUUGAAUUGUUUUAAUCUCUUUUUUAAUUCUUUUUCUUUUUCUUUCAAGGCAUUCUGGGGUGGCAUAGGUAUGCCUUUGCCCGUGUUUGUCCUUAUUGGGAGUUGUGAUUAAUCAAAUGAUGAUUCUUAUGAACAGGCCGACCAGAAGGGAAAAGAACAGUAGAGCGAAUUGCGAACAUGAGGCACGGGCCGAUUAGGGUUGGGGUUAGGGUUAGCGGUUAGGGUUAGGGUUAGGGGGUUAGGGUUAGGGUUAGGGGGUUAGGGUUAGGGUUAGGGGGUUAGGGUUAGGGUUAGGGUUAGGGUUAAGGUUAGGGUUAGGGUUUUAGGGUUAGGGUUAGGGGCCAGGGUAGGCGCUAACCUGUAUGCACUGUCCAUCUAAUGUCGCUCACUCCACUGGGUUUCAC